GACGAACGCUGGCGGCGUGCUUAACACAUGCAAGUCGAACGAGUGGGAACGGGUGAGUAACACGUGGGUAACCUCCCAUCAGGGGGGAUAAUACUUGGAAACAGGUGCUAAACCGAUAUAGCUGGAUGGACUUGCGUGGCAUUAGCGAGUUGGUGAGGUAACGGCUCACCACGGCAACGAUGCAUAGCCGACCUGAGAGGAUGAUCGGCCACACUGGGACUGAGACACGGCCCAGACUCCUACGGGAGGCAGCAGUGGGGAAUCUUCGGCAAUGGGCGAAAGUCUGACGGAGCAACGCCGCGUGAGUGAAGAAGGUUUUCGGAUCGUAAAGCUCUGUUAUUAGAGAAGCGGUAUCUAAACAGGAAGCAACGGCUAACUCCGUGCCAGCAGCCGCGGUAAUAC
rnacentral:rRNA from 1 species